UUUUAGUAGAGACGGGAUUUCACCAUGUUGGCCAGGCUUGUCUCAAACUCCUGACCUCAAGUGAAGACUAUCCAUUUCUGAAUUCAAUGUUAUGCAACUGUCAUAUUUGAAGUGGUGUCAAAACAACUAGAGUCGGGCCGGCCAUGGUAGCUGACACCUGUAAUCUCAGCACUUUGGGAGGCCGAGGCAGGCGAAUCACUUGAGAUUUACACAUCGCCCACAGAGAAGAAAACCUGGUGAGGCCACUUCUGCUUGUAUUGCAGAGGAAGAACCCAUCUGAUGCCACUUUUAGGAAGAUUUAUUAGAGGAUGUGGAGACAUUAUCUUCAAUGUGUGUUUUGUGAUGACAUCCUGCACUGGCACUUACUGAAUGAGUCAAAUAUGAUAUUUAUAGGGCCUUAAUAAAAGCUUUUAUCUAGCUAGGUUGUAUUAUUAAAUGUCAAACGAACUAAAUGAAAAGCUUUCAACAUGAAGGCAUCCAAAGAGAGCAGAAUGAGAAAAGCAUAAAAAAUGUUGAGAUACCGAGGCAGCAUGCAUUGAGUGGGGGCUUUGAGGUCCCACAGUCCUAAAUGUGAAACUCAGUUCUGACACUGACCAGCUCUGUGACCUUGGGCAAAUUAUUUAAUGUCUCUAUGCCCCAGUUGUUAUCUGCAAACUGGACAUAAUGCCUGUUUCUGAUACAGGGAAGGAUGUCAUAAAUUACUAAGUAUUAAAAUUGCAGACAAUGUUAGCAAUUUUCUGCAAUUGAAUGACAUUUUGUUAGCCUAAUUUCCAGAAUAUCUGGAGAUGAGAUACCAGGCCUAGCUCAUGCUAAGGAGGAUGUGAUAGGAAGAAUAAGGGCCUCCCAAAGAUGUCUACAUUGUAAUUUCCAGAACCUGUGAAUAUGUUACCUUGUAAGGGAAAAGAGACUAUAGAUGUGAUUAAGUUAAGGGUCUUGAGAUGGGAGAGAUUAUCCUGGAUUAUCCAAAGGAACUCAAUGUAAUUACAAGAGUCUUUUGAAGUGAAAGAGGAAGGCAGGAGACUCAGAGAAUAUGUGACCAGUGAAGCAGAGGCUGGAGUGAUGCAAUUGCUGUCUUUGAAGAUAGAAGAAAGCAGGCCAGGAGCCAAGGAAUGCAUGCAGCUUCUAGAAGCUAAAAAAAAAAAAAAAAAAAAAAAAAAAAGAAAGGCAAAGAAACAAUUUCCCCUAGAGCCUCCAGAAGAAAUGCAGUCCUGCAGGUAUAUUGAUUUUAGCCCACUGAGACCCAUUUCAGACUUCUGACCCUGGUCCAGAACUUUAAGAUAAUAUAUUUGUGUUGUUUUAAGCCACCAAAUUUCUGGUACAUUGUUACAGCAGCCAUAGAAAACACACAGAAGCACAGAAGAUUAAACUGAAUCUCUCUUUGAGCAUUCAAAGACUCUGAGUGCAGAUUUUGCAAGAAUCUGCACUUUGGAGUGCAGGUUCACUUUGGAGACCAUGUCAUUCAAAAUCUAAUAGUAUAAAGUCCAAGGAUUGUAAUCAUAGUUUACUUGCGAAUGAAUGUAUCCCUCCUGGCAUCAGACGGUCCUGAUGACUCACUUGUCAAUCAAGCUCAUAUGUAUCAUAUGCAGAAGGCCCCCCGGCACAAUGCUCAGGACCCUGCAGUACUCGCUGUAGUACUGGGAAACUGCCUGGUAGGACAGCAAGGAGGAAAUCUGGUUAUGGUACACCAAUAAUCAAGAAAGACCACUCUUUAGGGGUAUACAAAGAAGUGUACAUAUGGUCAACCAUGCUGGAGAAUAAUUUGAUAACUGUGUCAAAAAACCAUGUAUCAAAAACUUUAAAAACAUAAAUACUCUGAUUCAGCAAUUCUACUUUAAGAAAAUUCAUCCUAGAAGGAAAAAAAUUGGAUUAAUACGCACAUCAUUCACCUGCUUAAAAAAAUCCAUUCCUGGUUCCUAUAAUUGCUUAUAGAAUAACACUUGGGGAGACUGAAGGGAGACAGCAGUACAUCCACUUAUGUUGGCUAAUUAAGACUGGCAGAUGUUCAUACUGGGCAUAGCUUGGUGUAGACUUGAACCUGGCUAGAUUAUUAACCUUGAAGGUCUCUGAGCCACCUUUGCUACAUUUGCUCUUUUUCACUAAAACGACUGAAACAGUGAUUGUGACUAAGAGUUUCAAUGUUAAGUCAGUGCCUGGCCUUAUACAUUUAUCGUAAACUAUCAUCCAAUUUUGUGGGUUAAAUAAAUUACAACUUUAUAUAUGUGUAUAUGUGUGCAACUGAGCCCUUAAGUGUUGAAAAUUACCUAUGGUCUUACUCAUCCACUGACAUUCAGAUAAUAUAUUUGGCAUGCAAAAGUUGUGAAUCCAAAUUAUGCUCAAAUACAAGUGGGGAAUACUUAUCCAUCUUUUUUUCUGAUGUAUUAUCUGUUUCAAUUGCAUGUCUGGACUCAAACCCCACAAAGAAGGGACCAAAAUUUACAUGGCACUCUUGAGUAUGAUGGCGGCUGUAUUUGGAGUUUUGAUUAAACUGCGCUACAUGUGUGAUUAUUACUUGUAAACAGAUGAUUAGAUAUUAAUUAGACAAUAAGUGAUUGUAAAGCACUUAGAAAAUAAAAGUGUUUAUAAAUACCACCAAGUAAUAGCAACAAUCAUUCUUUACUGACUACACAGCUGCUAAUGUCAAUAAGAAUGAUUUAUUCCAGCUAAGGGCAACUUUAAUUUAUGCAAAAA